UACGUAGGGAGCAAGCGUUGUCCGGAAUCAUUGGGCGUAAAGCGCGCGUAGGUGGCUUCGUAAGUCCGUUGUGAAAGUCAAAGGCUCAACCUUUGAAAGCCGAUGGAUACUGCGGAGCUAGAGUACGGAAGAGGCGAGUGGAAUUCCUGGUGUAGCGGUGGAAUGCGCAGAUAUCAGGAGGAACACCAAUAGCGAAGGCAGCUCCGCUGGGACGUUACUGACACUGAGGCGCGAAAAGCGUGGGGAGCGAACAGG
rnacentral:rRNA from 1 species